GCAGGACUGGGCCACAGUGGGUCUUUGCUCUGCUUUUAAUCACUGUGCCCCAAUCCCAAGAACUUUAAGGGAUGAAGGAGUCUGGGCUCAGAGUUUGAGGGUAGACACCCCACCGUGGUGAGGAAGCCUCAGCAGCUGCCGUGGCACGGGUGGCUGGUUAGGCUGCCUCUAGAGGGAGACGAGGUUCUCUUCCCUCCAUUGCCCUCCCCUCCCUCCCCUUCCCUCCCCUUCACUGCCCUCCCCUCCCUUCCCUUCCCUUCUUCAGUCUAGGCUCCCAGGCCUUGAACUGGUGCUGUCUACAUCAGGGUGGGUCUUCUCUCCUUAGCUAAACCUCUUAGGAAACACCCUUGCUGACAGGCCCAGAGCCUUUUAUUGUGCAGCUGGCCUGGAACUAGCUAUGUAGACUACAGUGGCCUUGAACUCACAGAGAUCCACCUGUCCCUGCUUUCUGGGUUCUGGGCCUAAAGGUGAGUUCCAUCUCUGUCCCUUUGCUUAAACUGCUCCCUGUGGCAGCUUCUCUUCCUCUUCAUCUCUAUAAAGAGUUCUGCCGAGUCACCGGGACAAUCCAACCGCUUCUUUCGCUAUAAAACGUUCUCAUAUUUCCUCAGGUCUGUGUUAAUAAUUUCUUGGCCUACCUGCCAGUGCCCCACACUUUGGAAGGAACCUCCUGACACUGUCCCAAAAGCUUCUGUUGCUUCCUCAUACUUGUCGUAUUAUUUCGUUAUUAUUCAUCCAUAGUUCAUCUUCUGCUCUCUCUACGUGAGUACAGAAAACAACAGCCACUCACAUUUAUGAGAAAACAAGCAGAUGACCCUCUCCCUUCUAUUCCCAUAACUGUCUGUGCUGUGCUCGUCGAUGCUAUCCUACUUCAUGUUUUAAACAUAGUCAGUAUAAAGUACUUAGAACAAAAAUUUUGUCUUUAUAUUUGUCUUAUGAAUCUUAUUUUUAAGUCCUCAAUAGUAUAACAUCGGGCACCCACUAAAUACUGUUAACAUCGAAGAUAAUAAAACUAAAUUUCUUUUUCAGGUAAACCUUGGGAAAGAAUCACUGGAGAGCCGGGUAUGGGGUCAUGGCAGGCAGUGCCUGUUCAAUCUGGAUAACAUUAUUAGGGAGAUCUAUUAUUAGGUUAUUUGAAUGCUAUUACAAGUAAUGAUAACAAACUGAACACUGAUAGAGUAUUUGCUGAGUAUCCACUAAUGGCACACAUUUGUGAGUUAAGCUAGAGAAAAUAAAUGCAGUAUGAUCUGGAUUUCUACAAGGUUGCUGCACGACUGCAGAAGACAGAAGCACGUGAGAAAACCACCGAUGAGGAUGGGCGCGGUGGCCCUACUGUAAGGCCAGCACUCAUGAGGCCGUGACAGGAUGGCCAUCUGUUUAAUGCCCUUCCUGCCAGCCUGGGCUACGUAGUGAUUCCGGCAGUCCAGGGCUAUAUAUGUCAAAAUUCUAUCUUAAAAAAAGAAAAGAGACUGCAUCUAUCACAGAAGCAGUUCAAGACCUGCGUCAUCCAUAUCCAUGAUGAGAGGAAAGGUCCCCUGGCUAAAGACGAACACAAACUGGAGAGAAGUCACUGAAGAUGGCUACUUAUGGUAUUCUUAUCUCGUUCCCUGAGCGUCACCAAGCCCAGGCCCAAGUCAGAUGGAUAUUCACAGUGAUCCAGGCCAUCACUGCAGAAUACGGAACUAGCUACCACAAAAACACGGAGGGAGAAGACACGAGGCCCGGCACUCUCAGGAAACCAAAAGCUUUGCAUGGAAACAAACAGACUGAGCCUGGAUCCUUUUCAGAAAAGCCCCCACAGCCAUGCAGCAGGCCUUCCCGGUCCUCUCAUUGCCUCCAGAGUGAGGCUCGGCCGCCCAUACGUUUAGGCAACAGAUGGCGACUAUCUGAAUGUGUAUGGAGCUGGGAUCAACAAACGUUGCAGUCUGCGACGUACGGCAUCCGUUUGCAAUCUGUACCGACUCUCGACGAUAUUGGAAUGAUUCCUUAUCAUGUGACGACGAGUGGCCCUUAUUCUUUACGUUCCCGACUCCAGAUUCAUACCAGGGACUGAGGUAAAAUGGAGACACAGCACAGUGUCUGCCCUUGGGACGCCUGUAAUCCAGUCCAGUGGUUCAAAACCUUCGGAAUGCUGCAACCCUUUAAUACAGUUCCUCACACUCUGGUGACCCCCAACUGUACAAUUAUUUUCAUUACUACUUCAUAACUGCGAUUUUGCUACUGUUGUAAAUUGUAAUGUAAAUAUCUGGUGAGAAGGAUAUCUGAUAUGUGACCCCUGUGAAAGGGUUAUUCAAUCACCAAGGGGGUUGUGACCCACAGGUUGAGAACCACUGCUCUAGUCAGCGGUUUGCCUACAUUGCUAAAUGUUGCCUAGAGCAGGGCAUAGGAGGUCAGCUGCACAGAGCCCCCAGGGGACAAUUCCUAGGUGCUGGGAGUACAGGACAGCACUAAGCCACAUGUCAGGGAAAAUGGAGAAGAGACAUUUAAAAACAGAGAUCCGAUGUCCAUUGGAAAGUUGGCACUAGGAAUUAAAGUUCUGUGUGUUUGUUUCUGUUUGCUUAUUAAAUUCUAACAUUUUGUUGCUUGAAGAACUAACUACCUUUUGAGCAAAAUUAUACCACUAGGUCUGAGAGUGCAUUUCAGUGAUAGAGCAUUUGGCUAGGGUGAGCAAAACCUUGUGAUUAAUUCCAGCAUGUCCUACACACUCACCCAUGCUCACAUUCUCCAAGGUACUCACACAUUAAACCCACUUUGAGACGAUCAAGGCUGUAUGUGUGUAUAGACAAUGUAAAUUAUUCAUUGUCUAUAAGAGAAAAGAGACCAUAUAUGUCCAAAUGCAAUUUAAGAUUUCCCAAAAUAUUCCUCAGGAAAAGUUAUCUCAUAUAAAAAACCUUCAGAUAACUGGACCCAGUAAAAUGGUAAGGGUGUUUGCCAACAAGCAAGAAGUCCUUAGCUAGAUCUCCCUGUGGUGGAGCCCUACACAAAUUGCCCUUUGACCUCCACUGGCACAUACACUCACGCGCUUGUGCUUACACUAUAAAUAAAUACUUAAAAAUUUAAAUCCUUAUAAAAAAACUAUAUUUUGAAGUGUUCUCUAGUUACAGAUACAUACCACUUACCUAAUACAGACCUAAUAUUGACUUCAGACACCCCUCCAUGUAGGCAUCUAUAGAAAAGGUUUUACAAUCAUAAUAAAGGGAAAUUAAGCAAACCUAGCACAAGUGUAGUGGUUCCUCCUGGGCACUAAAAUCACAAUGACAAGGGUGGGCAUUGAAUAUGAGAUUUCUUAAAAAAAAAAUAAAAGUAACUGUGUAGGAUACUGUUUUUCCAUAAUUGAAGUUAUGUGGUUUUUCUACAAUUAUGUGUUAUAGAAUUACAGAACCUGCUUUUUCCACUUGAAGCCUCUGCGCUAGUAUUUUGCACAAAAUAAAAAAUUCUUUAGUAACUAGAAAAUGUAACACAGUAUAUAGUCAUAUGGUAGACAUCAUUCGUAUAAUAAAAUGUUACCCUUGACUACAAAUACUCAUUUGUGUAAGGUAAGAACAAAAUUGAAUUUUUUUUUUUUUUUUGGUUCUUUUUUUCGGAGCUGGGGACCGAACCCAGGGCCUUGCACCAAAAUUGAAUUUUUAUUCGUGCUGUAGCUAACUUUUGUUUUGAGACUGUGUAGCCCAGAUAGCUCGCUAACUUCUGAUGAUCCUCCUGGCUCUGGCUUAUCUUCCCAAGGGCUGGCACUACAGGCAUGCACCACCACACCCUGCAAAAAGGACCUUGGUUAGACAAGGUACUUGGUUAAACAUGAAGGUAACUACUUGUACAGACCCAUGCUCUGAGGUACUAUUCAAAAAUCUUUUGAUGAUUCAAAAUUCCACUUUGCCGUUGACAAAGACGCUGAUUAUGAGACUGUCUUUGAUGAGUUGGAAUCAAACUGUUGAUGACAUGCAGAUGAGGAGCGGUGUUUAAGGCUGGCUGUGCAGUUCGGUGUUAGAGGGCUGCCAGGGUUUGUCUGAAGCCCUGGCUCGUUUCCCUGGCACUGCAGAGGGGGAUGGGCAAUUUUUUAUAAAUUAAUACAUUGUCUCACAGAAUGUACAAUUUCCUAAGUCCAUGCAAAUAGAUAGACUCGUAGAAUAGAUUUAUUUUAAUGCCAUUUGUUUGCUGGAAAAUGUAUGCGUGUGCGAUGUUAUCUGUUUUUAUAUCUUUUCAAAAACAUGUGGAGUUGCUUGAUUUAGAAUAUACAGUGAAUUCAUUUGUUUUCUUGGCUAAUUCUUGAGGAAAAUCGAAUAGGUAAAACUAGUUAAAUAACAAGUUAGGAAAGUUUUUAAAAUGAUAUAGCUCUCAGUCAUUUAGCUUUGGGGUAAUCAUCCCUCAGACCUAUAUACCUACAUUAUGACAGAGAACAAGUCAGGAUCCUCUCCCCCAAUCCACAGUAGUUCCUCAUCUGUCAAUAAGUUUAAGACCAGCACCCCUAACACUCUCACUUUCACAAUGUGUGAAAUAGCUUCUGGAGAUUAUCUCAUAGUCUUGACUUAGUCGACUCAAUGUUCAGAUAAAAGAAACAAAACCAAAACAGUGUUUCAAUGCCACCCAC